AUAUAUUAAACAGCUCCAAUGAACUUACCCAAAUAGGGCCUUGGUUUUUUUCUGAUGAAAAAGGCUCCCUUUAUCUUCCUCUCCCCGUGGUAUGGUGACCACUGUGUGGGCUGAAUCUACUAUCUGCAGCAAACAGAAUAACCAGACGCUUCCUUACACCAUUUUCCAACUACAAGCCUUGGAAGUCUGUGCCAGAGGGAAUCAUCACCAUUGAUUUUUAUUGUGCCUUUCUUUGACUAUAUGCCACACUGCUACUUCUAUCAAAUGAAGACGGUGGCAUGUUAACAAGUAGCAAGAGAUGCCUGUUAUUAUUGGAGAGAUGUAAGAAUGUGAAACAGUUGAAGCAAUCUCAUGCACAAGUAAUCAUGUGCGGGCUUGGAGAUAAUAACUUUGCCUUGAGCCGAUUGUUGGCUUUCUGCUCUGACCCACUUCACGGUAGCCUAUCCUAUGGAUGGAAAGUCUUUCAACACAUUGAACAACCCACAAUUUGCAUUUGCAACACAAUGAUAAAAGCUUUCCUGCUCAAGGGUGAACUACUCAAUACCAUACAAAUCUAUACACAUAUGCUCAGAAAUGGAAUGUGCCCUGAUAAUUACACAUUGCCUUAUGUGUUGAAGGCUUGUGCAAACAUGAAAAGCUUCCAUCUAGGGGAGUCAAUUCAUGGGCAUUGUUUGAAACUGGGAUUUUUGUUUGAUACUUUUGUGGGUAAUAGUUUGAUUGUCAUGUAUUCUGCAUUCAAUGAUAUGAAUGCAGCAAGAUGUGUGUUUGCUGAAGUUCCUGGACACGAUGUUGUGUCAUCGACAGCCUUGAUUUCUGGGUAUGCAAAAGCAGGGGAUGUUGACUCAGCAAGACUGUUGUUUGAUGAAGCACCUGUAAAGGAUAGAGGGGUAUGGGGUUCAAUGAUAUCUGGGUAUGUGCAGAAUUGUCGUUUUAAGGAGGGAUUGCAGAUGUUUCGGUUAAUGCAGUUUACCGGCAUUGAGCCCGAUGAGGCCAUAUUUGUGAGCAUACUCUGUGCUUGUGCUCAUUUAGGUGCUUUAGCUAUUGGGAUAUGGGUUCACAGAUACUUGGAUAUUGUCAAAUUGCCACUAAGUGUUCGGUUGGGCACUAGUCUUAUAGACAUGUAUGCUAAAUGUGGGUACUUGGAUUUAGCUGAGGAGGUGUUUUAUGAAAUGCCACAAAGAGAUACCAUUUGUUGGAAUGCUAUGAUUUCCACAUGGGCAAUGCAUGGAGAUGGAGAGCGUGCUCUUCAAUUGUUUUCGGAGAUGGAGAAGGCUAGAAUCAAGCCUGAUGAUGUUUCAUUCAUUGCUAUUUUCACUGCAUGUAGUUAUUCAGGUAUGGCAUACGAAGGCCUAAAGGUGUUUAGCCGUAUGUGUAAUGUGUACAAUAUUGAACCCAAAAGUGAACACUAUGGGUGUAUAAUUGACUUUCUAGGCCGGGCUGGGCUCCUUGAAGAAGCAAAGGAAAUCAUCAAACGAAUGCCCAUUUCAAGCAGCCACUCUGAAGAAGCGGUGGCUUGGAGAGCACUAAUGAGUGCAUCUUGUAGUCAUGGAAACAUUCAUUUGGCUGAGAUUGCAGCUGAUAGACUCGUUCAGUUGGAACGCCAUAGCGGGGUCUAUGUUCUGCUCUCAAAUCUAUAUUCAACUGCUGGUAAACAUGACAGUGCAAGAAAAAUGAGGAAGAUGAUGAAAAGCCGAGGGAUAGAGAAGACACCUGGCUGCAGCUCGGUUGAUGUUAAUGGGGUUGUUCAUGAGUUCAUUGCAGGGGAGAAAACACACCCACAAAUGGAAGAUGUUCAUAGCCUUUUGGAGACAAUGUACAAGCAUUUGGGUUAUUUACCAUUCAAUCUGAAUCUUGCUUUGAGUUGAUGCCAACCUAUGCUGUUGAUGGUUGGAAUUUGUUCCGCAUCUCGACAACCAUGGUUGUUUGCAGAAGCAUACCUUUCUGAGGUGUUUGCAUCUUUGGUAUCUCUUGCAUCAAAGAUGAGUUUCUGUUUGGACAUGACAAGCAAAUUAUUAUUUGUAAAUGGUGUGUAGUGUCCUCUCAGAUCUUUGAAAGUUGCCACUUUUCUGUGGAAUUCCUUUGUUUAUUGUUUAUAGUUUUAUCUUUUCUCAUGUUGUUUAGCUCAGGUGUACACAGUGGGUGCUAGAUUUUGCUUGGGGUUUUGAAACAGUCAUAGAAAAUCUCGCACUUCGACGGUACUAAGUUGCAUUUCUCAUCAGCUAAACUAACUCAGAACUGUAUGUAAAUUAGAUUAGUCAUGCAUUAAAAGUUAUUAUGGUUGCUCAGCGUAAUGGUAAAAUCCCAGGUGUCAAGCAUGAGAAUGUAGGUACGAGCUUGAGGGAAGCCGUUUUGUGGAAAUAAUGCAAGUCUGGUCUAUACUUGAUUCACCCAUUCUUGCUUCUUACCUUGGCAACACCAACAAUCGAUUAAGAAAGAGAUACUAUCAGCCGAGCCUUCUGUGAAAGCGUUUGUCUUUGGAACACACAGGAUUUUUCAAGAAAGUAAGGGGGGAAGCUGGUCUCCAACACCGUAAAGGAGAGAAGGAGCAUCAGUAGUCUGUCAGAUGACUAGCAGCACAUUGUACAGCAGAGCAUGGUUUUUAUGAAGUUUCUUUUGGCAUUUGCUGAACUUGGGGAGGGUUUAAUGAAGAAUUAUAGUCUUUGGAACCCAUCAAUUUAAUCUCCUAUUUGGGAAAUUUUUAGAUAUGCAAACAGUGUAAUCUAUUCUUGUGAAUUUUUUAAGCCAAAUGAAUAUGUAGCUUAUAUGAAACAUACAUAUGAAUGAAUUGCUUGUAGUUUAAAUUGUCUAAUACUUGGUUCGUUUUAACAGAAAAUAUUUUAUUUUC